AACGAACGCUGGCGGCAUGCCUAACACAUGCAAGUCGAACGAGACCUCCGGGCUUUGUGGCGCACGUGUGCGUAACGCGUGGGGACCUACCCUUAGGUUCCGAAUAACUCCCUGAAAGGGGUCCUCAUACCGGUUAAUAUCUUCGCACCUAAGAUUUAUCGCGUUUGGUUGGGGUCGCGUUAGAUUCGGUUGUUGGUAGGGUAAUAGCCUAGCAAGGCGUGGAUGCAUAGCUGGUCUGAGAGGAGGAUCAGCCACACUGGAGAUAAGACACGGACCAGACUGGGACGCAAGGGAGGAGAGGAGAAUAUAAGAGAAUGGAGGAAGAGCUGAUCAAGCAAUGCGGGGGAAGAGAUGAAGGGGGUAGGGAAGUAAAGCUCUUUUACCCGGGAUGAUAGUGACGGUACCGGGAGAAUAAGCACCGGCUAACUACGUG
rnacentral:rRNA from 1 species